rnacentral:rRNA from 1 species
UACUCAGUUCGGAUUGCAGGCUGCAACUCGCCUGUAUGAAGUCGGAAUUGCUAGUAAUCGCGGAUCAGCAUGCCGCGGUGAAUACGUUCCCGGGCCUUGUACACACCGCCCGUCACACCAUGAGAGCCGGGAACACCCGAAGUCCGUAGUCUAACCGCAAGGAGGACGCGGCCGAAGGUGGGUUUGGUAAUUGGGGUGAAGUCGUAACAAGGUACC